rnacentral:rRNA from 1 species
GUAGUCCACGCUGUAAACGAUGGGCACUAGACUUUAUGGGACUUGACCCCUGUGGAGUCGUAGCUAACGCGAUAAGUGCCCCGCCUGGGAAGUACGGUCGCAAGACUAAAACUCAAAGGAAUUGACGGGGGCCCGCACAAGCGGUGGAUCAUGUGGUUUAAUUCGAAGCAACGCGCAAAACCUUACCUGGGUUUGACAUCUUCGGAUCGCUGUAGAAAUACAGAAUUUGUAGCAAUACAACCGAAAGACAGGUGCUGCAUGGCUGUCGUCAGCUCGUGUGGUGACAUGUUGGGUUAAGUCCCGCAACGAGCGCAACCCUUGCCUUUAGUUGCCAGCAUUCAGUUGGGCACUCUAGAGGGACUGCCGUGGUUAACACGGA